rnacentral:tRNA from 1 species
GCUGGUGUGCUCAGUGGUUAGAGCAUUGGCCUGCCCACCAGAGUCAUAGGUUCAAUUCCUGGUCAAGGGCA